AGAUGCCUGACACUGCCUUGUCCUGCCGGCUCCUCUCCUGCUCCUCCCACACCCGUGCCUGAUGGGGAGCUAGUUGCAGGCGCUGCAAGAUUACCUGUGGGUCCUUGCAAGGGAGAGGAUUUGUCCUCCCUGCUAUCCCAGCUAGAGGAUGCUGAGUGCCAUAAAAAGACUGAAUGUCACAGCUGAACGGAUCACAGGGGGACCCUGCAGAUUUACGUGGCUCCACCAUCAUGUCCUUUGGCGGGAUGUUUGACUGUGUGUGUCACUGCUUCUGUCUCCUCUUGGAAGUUCAACUAUGGAUUUUCUGGGUGAACAUCGAUCCCCCUGCUGACAUUAGCCAGUGUGGCUUGGGUGCUUUGGCUGCUUGAGCCUUGUCCUAGCACAUUCCUUCAGCUCCCCAGUGAGACUGUCCCCUGAACUGGACCCCUGUAACUUACAUGAAGAUGGCGUCUCUGGUUCUUCAGACUGGGAAGAAGAGGAAGGAGAAGUUAUAUUUGUCAUCCUGCUUUCUCCCCAUCAAUUGUUGACUUGCUGCAUCCUUUGAGCCGGAGCCUGGUAAGUCAUUACAGCCACAUCCAUCAACAAUUUUAAAAUUUAAAGAACACGGUGUCUCUGCUUGUGUCGCCUUGGAGAACAUCCCUGAAAGGCACUGCACAGCGUUAGCUUUUCACACACUUGGCCAUCUUCAUGAAACUAGGCGUAUCUCGUUAUGCUGAGCCAGCUGGAUCUGUGUGAAAGUUCAGAGGAGAGAUAAAGAUUGUUCUUUAGGAGGCAGAAGGCUGCAGUCUGUCGGGUUAGGCAUUUCUUAGGGAAGGCUUUGGCUGUAGCCCAGAGCAAGAGGGACCUGAUCUGCCAUGACAACUUCACACUCCUGAGCAGGAGCACGUGAAUCCAGGGACCUCACAGCUAUGGAAGGUGUAGGAGACACAUCUAGUACCUCUAGCUCUUCCUAUGAUCCUCCACCUGUCCUGCAGCACUGUGAUUAAUGGGCUUCCCAUCAGGAGAGGAGGCAGUGCAGGCUGGUUGGCUGGCUGGCCAGUUGGCUGGUUGGCCAGCUGGCUGGGGAGUGUGUGGGUUGCAGCUGGUCAGGAGGCUCCUGCUGAUGCUUUUUGCCUACCUGAGGAGGAGGAGAAGGAUGAACAUGCGGCACAAGGAGCCACUUUUGGGCUGUCUGAGCCAGAUCUAUGACUCUGCAAGCUGCCUUCAAAAUGUGAGGCUGACCUGAAUAGCCAGGGAGGUGAAGGGUGUGAGGAGAGCAAUGUUCCCAUGGGCUUUCUCUUGUUAUCAGAUGAGGUCACAGAGAGAGUUUGGACAGAUCUGCCAUGACGCUUGGGAUUAACCUUGAAGUUAGGUUCAAGUGGUGUAUGCUACAAGAGACCCCAUUCCCCAUCUCCAAUGCAUCAUGGACUCUGCCCCAGAGCUGUCCUUCCUCCAGGAUUUUUUUCCUCUCAACCAGCUCUAAAAUGGCCUUUAGGCUCUUUCAGAGACCCCCCUCUAGGAAACAGCCCAUAAAAAACUAGCCUUUUAUCUGGCCUUGCCUGUGACUAUGGAGGGAGGAGAAGGGGAGCUCCACGGGGCUGAGGACAUUGGAAGGUGGGAUUACUACUGUGGGUCCCUCAUGUGAAGACUUGCAACAUGCUCAUAAAUCCAGCAAUGUCAUGUGGUUGGGUGCCUUUCAAGGUCCACGUAAGGAAAACAGGGAGAGUUGGGGUUUGAGCCUUUGGUCAGCGCCAGUGGAGCUGUUUUGGGGUGUUCUGUGGCACCCUUCAGCAAUCACUUACAAAAUAACUCAGAAAUCCCCCAAGACCCACAGGUGGAGGGGCCAGGCUGGUGGAGUUGCUGACUCUGAGUUGGCCUCAGAUGAAACUUUUACAACAACAUAGAAAUUCUCACUGGUGACAAAGUCCCUGAACAAUGGGUUUGACAAUGGGUUACAGAACAGGGUGGAUUUUUACCCAUCUGGCUCCCUGAUAGUUAUUUAAUAACCCAUAACAACUGUCGAGCAUGGAGCCAAGGGAAUAUGGGUUGUCUUGAAGGUCAAGUGAGAUGUCAAACAUUGAGCUGAUAGGGAGGGAACAUAGGGGACAGAGUGGCUAAACCCAUAUUUAUGGGGAUUUGGAACAAGAAUGUGAGCUUGGGUGAUAGCAAAAGUGGGUGCCUGAUCCAGCCUCUGCAUUUUCUGUUUCACUGGUGGAGGGGAGAGAAAUGCCUUUCUCACGUAUUUCACAGAUUUCAUGGUAAGAGGGGCCACGAACAUUUGGUCUGACACUCUUUAGCACAGCCUGGGGAAGAUAACUCAGGGGUUUUUGCAGGAGAAGAAACCAUGGAAGUUAAAAAGGGAAAGUGAAGUGGCCGCAGAGCUGCAAGUGGAGAAAAGUGAAAGGGAACAGCACUGGUCUGGUCAUCGUAAGGGAUUGGGACAAGGCCAGAGACAGUCUGCUUAGCACCAGGAGAACCUACAGCCCUGUUGCUCCCGGGCGUCCCAACUGAAGUACGGAGCCUCCGAAAGAAGAUCUCGGCAUGACAAAGCAGCUACAAGAGUCUCCUGAUAGCCAGAGAGGUCUGGGCAGGUUGGCAGGGUGAACAGAGACUCGGCUUGACCUUCUGGACAUCUGGGGCUGGCAAACAUACAGCUGUGUGUUAAAGGGCACUCGGAAGGUUGUCAAA